GGCGGCGUGCUUAACACAUGCAAGUCGAACGGGAUCCAAAGGCUUUUUGUUUUUGGUGAGAGUGGCGAACGGGUGAGUAACACGUGAGUAACCUGCCCCCUUCUUUUGGAUAACCGCAUGAAAGUGUGGCUAAUACAGGAUAUUCCAGGCUGGUCGCAUGAUUGGUUUGGGAAAUGGUUUGGUCUGGUGGGGGAUGGGCUCGCGGCCUAUCAGCUUGUUGGUGGGGUGAUGGCCUACCAAGGCGGUGACGGGUAGCCGGCCUGAGAGGGUGGGCGGUCACACUGGGACUGAGAUACGGCCCAGACUCCUACGGGAGGCAGCAGUGGGGGAUUUUGCACAAUGGGCGCAAGCCUGAUGCAGCGACGCCGCGUGAGGGAUGAAGGCCUUCGGGUUGUAAACCUCUUUCGCUGGGUUGAAAGGCCAUGCUUUGGGUGUGGUUGAUUUGAACUGGUAAAGAAGUACCGGCUAACUACGUGCCAGCAGCCGCGGUAAUACGUAGGGUACUAGCGUUGUCCGGAUUUAUUGGGCGUAAAGGGCUUGUAGGUGGUUUGUCGCGUCUGUCGUGAAAUCCUGUGGCUUAACCAUGGGCUUGCGGUGGGUACGCGCAGGCUUGAGUGCGGUAGGGGAGACUGGAAUUCCUGGUGUAGCGGUGGAAUGCGCAGAUAUCAGGAGGAACACCGGUGGCGAAGGCGGGUCUCUGGGCCGUUACUGACACUGAGGAGCGAAAGCGUGGGGAGCGAACAGGAUUA
rnacentral:rRNA from 1 species